rnacentral:rRNA from 1 species
UACGAAGGGGGCUAGCGUUGUUCGGAAUUACUGGGCGUAAAGCGUACGUAGGCGGAUUGUUAAGUGAGGGGUGAAAUCCCGAGGCUCAACCUCGGAACUGCCUUUCAUACUGGCAAUCUUGAGUCCGGGAGAGGUGAGUGGAACUCCUAGUGUAGAGGUGAAAUUCGUAGAUAUUAGGAAGAACACCAGUGGCGAAGGCGGCUCACUGGCCCGAUACUGACGCUGAGGCACGAAAGCGUGGGGAGCAAACAGG